UACAUAGAACUGCACGAGGUAGUACAAAUCCAAUAUACACCCUUGAUAUCCAUGGUACAACUAUUACAUGUACGUCACGUGUACAUGCAUAACCCUAACUUAUGUGUAUGCUGUGAAUUGACUAACAUAUAAUUAUACAUCGAGCUAGUGCAUGUAUGUGUAUAAUGAGAUCAUAGUAAACUAUUUAGCAUUCAGUUUGACAAUGAAAUGUGCAUUGUGACUUCGUUUUUGAUGCUAAAAAUAGCUUGAUCCUUAUAAUAAAUGUGGCAUUGACAAUAGCACGUGGUAUAUAUAGUUUUUGUCCAGGGUGUGAGCAGAACACUAGUUUGCAAUUGUCAUGUCUGAAUCCAAAUACCUACUCUUUCUAGUAGUACUAGUUAGUGCUAGAAAUGCUGUUAGUGGUGCACCUGUGAAUAUUGCUCCAGUAGUGACUGAAAGUUCUGGUCGUGAACCUUUACCUCAGUGUGACCCAGGAGAGGACAGUUGUUCCCAGUGUUACGAUUUUCUUGUCAACGAAAUGAUUAUAAGCAACAAAAAUCGUUUUAAUCUCCUAAAGGUUUUCUUUCCUGCAAACAAUUCCAACCCUGUAUUUGUAAGGGUUACCUAUCAUUUUACUCGAAACCCAGACGGUCCUACAGAUUAUUUGGAGGAAGGUUCAACUCAAGAAUGGUUUUGGACGCAGUCGACAUUUUAUCUAUUCCAACCAAUAGCAAGUUUGCAGUUCACUUCUCUCCUGUUUUCUGACACAACGUUAAGUUCAAAUCAAAUCGAUCUGUAUUUACAGCCAAGUUGUGAAAACAGUAGUAUCGAUAUGAUGCAGCUACUAACUCAAAGGUUAAAGUCGUAUACAGCUAUGCAAACUAUUGCUGCUCCAAUUAGCGAUGAUUACGACGCAAAAGGAGAGAGCCUAGAAACAUUGUUGAGGUUUCACAAUGGUAGUUAUAUCGAUGGAGGUCAACAUCUUAGCUAUUAUACAUUUGCUUUCCACUUUGUAUUCCCAUUUCUUGGAGUUUUGUUCAUUGCGAAUCUGUUGCAUCAUUUUGUAGAAAACGAUAAACUUAUUUUUGUGAGGAGUGAAAAGUCUGCAGACAAUGAUAGUCAUAGUCUGGGAGUGAUAAAGAUUUCAACUGUCAAUAUGACUGUAUAUAUCAGUGUUACGUGUUGUUUUCUUUUUGUGCUUUUUGUGAUUGUACUCGAUUGCAUUGGAGUCAAUAAAC